GUUCCCUCUAAAAGACUGUGUUCUGAUUGGUUUAGGCAUCAGUGAUCAAUAUCUCACUACCUGGAAAGCUUUGAUACUGUGUACAUGUAUUUGGUAGAGGUUGUUUUAAAUCAGUAAUAUAUUAGUUUUAAAGGAAUGGAAUUAUUAGUCAGAGACCAUUAACCUGAAUCACAGUGUGAUAGAGCAGAUGAGUUGUUGGUGCAGCUGGUGAUGUUUUCUAUAGUGGUGAUGCAUUUAAGUCCACAACUUGGAUGCUUAGUUUACCAACCAAUAAAUUGAUAAAGGUACAAAGAGCUUGUUUCCUACACACGGCCUCCAGAUGGACCUACUCCUCAACCCCCACUAGCAGUUAUACUUCUUUAUAAUUUACAAAAGGACUUUAAGUAAAACUAGCCAAGUGACAUAUG